AUGAAUUUACUAUUUUGGAACUGCCGAGAGGCAGGAAACCGCCAGACAGUUCAUGAGGUUGUGGCCCUCUCAAAAGCCAAUUCCCCGUCCUUUGUAUUUCUUUAUGAGACGAGGAAAAUGGUAGAAAAGAUCCAGAAAGUUAAAUGGAGAUUGCAAUUGAGUGGCUGUGGCCUGGAUAGUCUGGGACUCAGUGGUGGCCUGGCUCUAUAUUGGGAUGAGACACUCAAUGUCUCUAUCUUAGAUUCUUGUCAAUGUUUUAUUGAUGUGCUUGUGGAAAAUAAUAGUAACAAUACAAGGUGGAGAGCAACGUUCGUUUAUGGCGAGCCUAGGGUGGAGAACCGUUAUAGGAUGUGGAAUAACUUGAAUGAUCCGCGAGCAAUAUCGCAUGAUCCUUGGCUUGUUUGUAGAGAUUUUAAUGAAGCAUUAUGGCAACAUGAACACUUUUCAUGUUUGUUACAGAAUGAAAGUCAAAUGGCGCCCUUUAGACUGUUUAAUGCAUGCUAUGUGAACUUGAGGAUUUGGGUUUCUCCGGUGUGA
rnacentral:rRNA from 1 species